AGGCCAUGGACAGAGUGGGGGAACAUUAAAACUAUAUUAAGACCAUCACCUUGUCCUCCCCUUGGUUCCUCAUGAAAAUACUUAUUAGUGUUUUCUGGCAAACACUAAUACCUAUUAGCUGCCAGAGGAGCCCAGAAUUUCAGCACAAAAUAGAGCCUAGACUCAAGCUUAGGGGACCCCAAAUAUCAAUAUUUGUGUUCACCCUGGGGCUGAUUUUUUUCGCCUUCUAUUUUUCUGUGCUCUCUUUCUUGUACUCUUGGCUUCUGUUUCUUUGGUUACUUGAAAAAAUUUUUUAAAUCUUAGUUAUUGAAGUGAAAACUGCUUUGAAAGGGAGAACGCCCUAGGUGAGAUCUAUCUCCCUGAUUGAAGGGAAAGAAAUGAAGGAGAUCCACUGAAAUAAAGUGAGUAUUUCCAAUCAGAAGGGGAAUAUUCUACGUCCCUCAGUGGUGAGUGACACCAAAUCAGCUGGAAAGGGCUCUCAUUCCUAGAGCUAAGGAAUAAGGAAUCUAGAGCUCACUGAUACUGUACAUACAAAACAAAACAAAUCUAAACUGCGAUAUAAAAGCAGCGUUUAAAAUUAACCAAGGGAGGCAGAGCUUCCUGGAUUUGGAUUUGUGGGUGGCAAGUAUCUAGGUGCACUGCCCCUAUUUUACUGUCCAGAGUGAGGUAAUAGUCCCUGCUCUGAAUUGGGAUUUUUGGGGGGAGACAUUCUCUCCCUUUACAUUCCCAGCAUCUUCCUAAACCAUCCUGAGUCCUCGUCUUUUCUUUAUUCUCACUUUAUUAGAACCUCAAAGAGGAUCAGAGGUCACCUGACAAUUUGAACUCUGUUUGUAGGAAGGUGUUUCUCAAUCAAGACAACACUUAAAAGGCAGCAUGACCUGGGGAAAAGAAUGUAGUCAUCUGGGUAUCAGGAGACCUGGAAUUUUCUUUUCUGAUAACUGUGCCACCUUACCAGGGAAGCUCCCUUCUCUACCUCUCAUCCCUGCUCUCCCCCUCUGCCUCUGUGGGUCUGUUUCUUUGUAAACAGGUUUUAUCUACGUGAUCCCUCCUUCUCUAAAGUUCUGAGUAUAUAAUUUUGAAAAGCUCCUCCCACCCAAGGAGUUUCUUCAGACCCCAAGGAAAAGUCUCUAGUUGGGAGGGGAGAUGUUUUCCCCUACAUUUAUUGAGCACCUCGUAUGUAACAGGUGCAAGUCACCAUUCAAAGCGUCCUUUAUGUGUGUCAUUUAAUCCUUAAUGAUGAUGGUAACACACACUUAUAUAGCACUUCCUCUGUGCCAGACUCUGUUCUAAUUAGUUUACAUACAUUCACCCAUUUAAAUCCUCAUCAUGAAGUGUAUGAAGUUGGUAUUAUUAUGAUCUUCCUUUUGUAGGUGACCACUGAACCUUAAAGGAGAAACAAACAUAGUGCCCUAGGGCCUAAGGCUGACCUCAAUAUUCAUAAACCAGGACAGGACAAUCAUCUUCUCUUGACAGAUGAGGAAGAUGGGGUUCUACCAGGCUAAGGAAAACUGCCCACAGUCACAGAACAAAAAGUGGUGGAUUCCCAGUCCCUGAAGGUCCUAGGACAUGUGCCAAGUAAUUACUUGGUGGAGCCAUGGCAGAGGAAAUUCAAAGGGAUUCUCCAAGAAGCAGGAAGAUUGAAUCUCAUCAGCAAACCCUCACAAGGCUGAAGUUGUCCUCUCUUCACUCUCUCAGUGCCUGAAACUUUAAGUCAUUCUGCAGUGCCUUUUCAAAUUGGGACCCGCCUCAGUCCAUGUGGUAUUUCUAAUGAAAGCAGUGACUUCUGGGAGGCUACCUCAUCCUGUGCACCAAUCCUCCCACUGGAUCCUGGCCACUACCUCAAAAUGAGGUGUCUCUAAUUCUAGAGUGGAAUCAGGAGGAUCCAGAUGCAUUGCCACUUAUAACUGGUAUAAAUUACAGCCCAGAAGCAGAGGUGUGCAAGAAAUAGUACGAAAAAUUUUUUUAUAACUGCACGUAAUUUGUAUUUUAAGCCUUGAUCCUGC